UCCUCCAUAGCUCAGCCUGGUAGAGCAGCGAACUCAUAAUUCGAAGGCCGCUGGUUCAAGUCCAGCUGGAGGGA
rnacentral:tRNA from 1 species